rnacentral:rRNA from 1 species
UACGAAGGUGGCAAGCGUUGUUCGGAUUUACUGGGCGUACAGGGAGCGUAGGCGGUUGGAUAAGCCCUCCGUGAAAUCUCCAGGCUUAAACCUGGGAAUUGCAGUCGAUACUACUCAGCUAGAGUAUGGGAGAGGGUAGUGGAAUUCCCGGUGUAGCGGUGAAAUGCGUAGAUAGUCGGGAGGAACAUCAGUGGCGAAGGCGGUUCUCUGGGACGGUACUGACGCUGAGA